GUGAUCAUAAAUUUUUGAACGCAAAUUGCGCUUCCUAGCAUCCCGGGAAGUAUGCCUGUUUGAGGGUCAGUAUUAACAAAAAAAUCGGUUUGGUUGCAAAUUGUGACGUUUCCGGAGUUUGGCUAACCUAACCUUUUUUGUUUAGGGGCUUAAAAUUGACCUUUUUUUCGCAUUUUUAGACGGUCCUAAAUUUUUUUUUUUUUUGUUUUAUUUUUAUUCCAAAAUCUUUUUAGAUUCGGUCACAU
rnacentral:misc_RNA from 1 species